GGGGUCGUAGCUCAAAUGGUAGAGCGCCCGCUUAGCAUGCUGCGCUAGGCGCCCGAAUGUGCGGGAGGUAGGGGGAUCGAUGCCCUCCGACUCCA